CGCGCUAAACGGGAAUACGGUUGCUCCUCGGCCAUAUCUCGGCUCGUCCCUUUUGCUGUUAAACAUGUUCCCGUAACGUGGAACAGAGCCCAACGUGAUCGUCCGGGCUGAAGGAGGAUUUGUUCUGCUCAUGACACGAGCUGAAUGCAAAUGACCCUCCGCGCUGCGCUCCUUCAUUUGGGAUUCAGAAGCAGCUGUGACGACCUCAUCAGUGAGAUGGAGCUGACUCCCGAGACGGAGAUGAGACAAAACCACAGACCUCCAAACGAGCAGCUGGAUUCUGGGAUUCCCAGCGGCGCCCUUCCGCCACCAUCAGCGUCUUUCAGCCAGAAGCCAGAGGCCAAAGAAUCGCCCCACUCCUGCGUCUGCAAACACUGCACUUGGGAGCAUUGAAAAGAGCUGACUGCCCUCAAACACAUGCGGUGCACUUUCCAGGAAAACACACAAAGAACUCUGUAACGUGAAACGAAAGCUGACAGCGGCGAUCUCAAAACGCAACGUGACGUUGUGUCGGCCAGUACACCGGUUUUCCCC
ensembl:lncRNA